rnacentral:rRNA from 1 species
GAUGAACGCUAGCGGCAGGCCUAAUACAUGCAAGUCGAGGGGCAGCACAGGUAGCAAUACUGGGUGGCGACCGGCAAACGGGUGCGGAACACGUACGCAACCUUCCUUUAAGUGGGGAAUAGCCCAGAGAAAUUUGGAUUAAUACCCCGUAACAUCACGGUGAGGCAUCUCACUAUGAUUAAAGCUCCGGCGCUUAAAGAUGGGCGUGCGUCUGAUUAGGUAGUUGGUGAGGUAACGGCUCACCAAGCCGACGAUCAGUAACUGGCGUGAGAGCGCGACCAGUCACACGGGCACUGAGACACGGGCCCGACUCCUACGGGAGGCAGCAGUAAGGAAUAUUGGUCAAUGGACGCAAGUCUGAACCAGCCAUGCCGCGUGGAGGAUGAAGGUCCUCUGGAUUGUAAACUUCUUUUAUCUGGGAAGAAAUGUCGGUUUUCUAACUGGCUUGACGGUACCAGAUGAAUAAGCACCGGCUAACUCCGUG